rnacentral:sRNA from 1 species
GUGAAAUAAAUCACAAACAAACAUUUACCCCUUUGUUUGACCGUGAAAAAAUUUCUCCCAUCCCCUUUGUUGUCGUUAAGACAUAUAAAAGAAGGCCCUGUACAUGUGUAUAGGGUCUUUUU